GUGCUUGCUUUGGCAGCACAUUUACUAAAAUUGGGAUGAUACAGAGAUGAUUAGUGUGGCCCCUACACAAAGAUGAUAUGCAAAUUUGUGAAGCAUCCCAUAUUUUA
rnacentral:snRNA from 1 species